rnacentral:rRNA from 1 species
AUGGAAGUAAGCGUUGGACGCCAGCCAAAGGGUCAGCUAUGGCUGGUCUUAGCCGUGCUGGUUGCCUUUGCAAUGCUCGGUGAGGCAGCCAGAAGCUUGCCACCACCUUCUCUUUCAGCAUCGCCAACGUAUGCUCCUAUCAUUAAGGUGAUAGGCAAAGCAUACUGCUAUAGAUGCUUCAACGAGGCACACCCAGAAGAAUCCCAUGGGAAGGAGCACCUGGAAGGAGCCAUGGUCAAGGUCACUUGCCAGGCCAAUGACCAGGCAAUAGUGAGAUUUGGCUACACCGAAAGCAAUGGCAAAUACAGUGUGGCCAUUACCGGGUUGCCACUUAGCGGCACCUUUGGGGCUGACUCGUGCAAGGUUGAGCUCCAUGCAGCAGCAGGAGGAUCUGACUGCAAUGUGCCCAUGGAGUUAAAUCUCUCUGGAGUUAGCGUUUACUCAAAGUCCAAUGAAGAAGUGGUUCUCCAAGCCAACCAAGUAAUGGCAUUUGGAUCAAAGAAGACAUUUGCUGGAUGUUCAAAACCUCACAUUCUACCAUCAAUGUAUCCAUAUAAUUCACCGCCACUCCCAUCCCAGCAUUCCUCACCUCCGUCCAACUACAAAUCCCCACCAGUACCAUACCAGCAUUCACCACCUCCUUCUAACAAGUUUCCACCUCCAUCAUAUCAGUAUCCAUCACCUCCACAGAACUUCUACUCUUCGCCGCCACCGUACCAACAGUCCACACCUUCAAACAACUACCAAGCUCCACCAACAUCUAACAAUCAAACACCAACCCAGAAGUAUUUACCACCCCCAUACUACUACAACUCCCCACCUCCGAACAGCCACGUAGCUCCACCACUGCCAUACCUGCAGUCCCCACCUCCGUACAACUACAAGUCGCCUCUUCUACCAUUGUCACCAACGCCUCCUCAACAUUAUAACUCUCCACCUCCAUUUAACUAUGGAUCUUCACCCCCACCUUACCAAUAUUCUCCACCGCUACCUCCAAAACAUCUACAACCAAAUGUUCCUCAUGCUAAUCCGCUACCAGCAUCAAUAUCUCCACAGCCUCUUUACCCCUAUGGCUCUCCACCACCAGCAUCAAUAUCUCCACAGCCUCUUUACCCCUACAGCUCUCCACCACCAUAUCUGAACUCUUACCAAUCCCCACCACCACCGAUUCAGCUUCCUCAUGUAAAAUCGCCACCAGUUUCUUCAACGUCUCCACAGCCUCUGCACCACUACAGCUCUCCACCACCAUCGCUUCUGAACUCGUACCAAUCCCCACCACCACCGAUUCAGCUUCCUCAUGUAAAAUCGCCACCAGUUUCUUCAACGCCUCCACAGCCUCUGCACCACUACAGCUCACCACCACCAUCGCUUCUGAACUCCUACCAAUCCCCCCCACCACCGAGUCACCUGUCAUAA